rnacentral:lncRNA from 1 species
UAUGAUCAAGAUCAAGGACUCAGGGGAAGAUAUCAUAACACAACUCUAGACACAAAUUAAAAUAAUACAAGCUUUAUAUUACAAGCCAGGGGCCUCGAAGGCUCGAAUACAUAAGCUCGAAUACACAAGAGUCAGCGGAAGAAACAAUAUCUGAGUACAGACAUAACUUAAACAAGUUUUGCCUUAAGAAGGCUAGCACAAAAGCAACAAUGAUCGAAAAGGCAAGGCCUCCUACCUGGGAGCCUCCUAACUCCUCCUAGUCGUCUGCGGUCUUCACGUAGUAGUAGGCAUCCUCCGGGUAGUAGUAGUCAUCAGUGGCAUCGUCUGGCUCCUGGGAUCCGUCAUCUGGUCGCAACAAUCAGGUAUGGGGGAAAAGGAAGUAGCAAAGCAACCGUGAGUACUCAUCCAAAGUACUCGCAAGACUUACAUCAGAUCUAAACUAAGUAUGCAUCUAUAUCAAAGGAAUGGGUUGUAUCCAUGGACUAAACUGCAGAAUGCCAAAAGGGAAGGGGAAAGCCUAGCCUAUCGAAGACUAGCAUCUUAUGGAAACCACCAUCUUGCAGCAACAGGAGGGAGUAGAGUAGCAUAAAGUAAAGUAGUAGAAGUGUUAUCAACCUCGGCCAGAGAUCCUUUUCUCGACUCCCUGAGAGAAAGCCAUCCCAGAGCCAUACUAUCCAUUUCUCAUCACCAUCCAUUUCUCAUCACAAGUAUCCAGUUCUAGUUGUAUGGAUCGGGAUACAACUCCAAGUGUCCGUUACCGUAGGACAGGCUAUCGAUAGAUGUUUUCUUCCCUGCAGGGGUGCACCAACUUACCCACCAUGCUCGAUUAACUCCGGCCGGACACACUUUCCUGGGUCAGGCCCGGCCUCGGCCAAACAAUACGCCGCAACCCGACCUAGGCUUAAUAGAGAGGCCAGCACGCCGGACUAAACCUAUGCCCCCAGGGGUCAUGGGCCAUCUCCCCGGGAACUCCUGCACGUUGCGUACGCGGCCGGUGAGCAGACCUAGCUACCUCCUUCAACAAGGCAGGAGCUUACGUAGUACAACCCGGCGCGCGCCGCUCAGUCGCUGACGUCUAUUAAGCUUUGGCUGAUGCAUACGACGCAGAACAUCAAUACUAUGCCCACGUGAUGGUUAGUGCUAUCAGGCCAGAGGCCCCUCGGAUCAAAUAUCCAAAUUGUAGUGGAUUAGGAAUGCGCGGUAACGAGCAGAGACUCACAAUCGAUGUGACUCCGUCGCCCUGUCUCGAGUACUUGUGGAAAGGGCUAAGAAUGCCCGGCCAUGCCUCGUAAGUAUCUCGCGGGCACUUUCCAGGUCAACCCGACUCCACAUCACUCGCUAAUAAGCUCGCGCGGGUACCCCUCAGGGUCGACCCGUCUUUAGUAACAUGGUUCAGUGUAAAGUCAUAGUAACCAUAGUAACUGUAUGUCUAACACCAAAGGGAAAACCCAAGGAAUCACCCCCCAUGAAUUCCACUCGCUGUUGUCAUCAAGGUGAACGUACACCCUCGAGGUUCACGUUUGAUGGGUUGCACGACAGAGCCGUAACGGAAGUGGUUAAGGAGGAAAUCACCCUCGAUGACCACGACCGAAUAGCUACUCUACAGAGAUCUCAUCAGGAGUGAUGUAUGAGGUUCCACCCUCGGCACUCGAUGGUAACUCUGUAGAGUCGAGCAACAAAGGGGCGUGAUGUGACGUGAGGUGUCGGGGCCUGGUCUUCGAUCCCGUUGAUCGGGUCUUCUGAUAAUCUAGCGGGGCAGUCGGGUCAAGUGGGGGGUCACUGAUGGGUCUCUAACCAAUCUAUACUAAGCACAAUAAACAGGCUAUGCAGCAGGAUAGGAGCAAACAAUAACAGUAGCAAAAUCUAAUGCAAGCAUGAGAGAAUGGAAUGGGCGAUAUCGGGAUGAUCAAAGGGGGGGGAGGGGCUUGCCUGGUUGCUCUGGCAAGGAGGGGUCGUCGUCGACGUAGUCGAUCACAGGGGCAACAUCGGUCUCGGGGUCUACCGGACAGAAGAGGGGAAAGAAACGUAAAUACACGCAAACAUAUGCACAACAUGAUUACAAGUGGGGCUAGAGGUGUCCUAACACAGUGCUAGGCGUUACUGGCGAAGGGGGAAACAUCCGGGAAGUUUUCCCGGUCCCGGACGUCUGCCAGACAAAUGAACCGGAGGGGAAAGUUUGCAUGUUCACUACACUAGGGACGUGUGGCAGACGAACGGACCGCUUAUCCAGAUUCAUCUCGAAAUUCUGAGUAACUUUCAUGUAGAAAACUUUUUCAUCCGAGCUACGGUUUAAUUUCUAUUAAUUUUCAAAGUUUUAUUAAUAUUCUGAAAUUAAUUUUAAUACGGAAAUAAAUGCUAAAAAGCACCCAGCACAGUGUACACCAAAGUGUACCAGUGGCUGACAAGUGGACCAGGGGUCCUAGUUGACCAGUCAACGUUUGACUGGUCAAUAGGGGGUGGGGCCCCCCUGUCAUAGGCUGUUUAUUCUAGCCGAACAGUUUAGUUAACCAAACUAGGUGAUUAGGCUAAUUAAACCCGAGUUAGUUAAGUUAAUUAACUUUUUAAUUAAUUAGUUAACUAAUUUUAUUAUUUAUUUAUUUUAAAUAUAUAUAUUUUUAUCCUUUUUUAAGGGGGCGUGGGGCCCCGGGUGCAGUGGCACAGAAGGUCAACCGGGGCGGGCGCGUCGUAGUGGGCGUGGGCGGGGGCGCCCGUCGGGGCGAACCCGGGCGACGAUCGUGGCCACGGCGGGGCUCACCGGCCAGCCGCGACAGGAGGAAACUGGCGCAGGGCGUGCCGGCGAUGGCCCAGCAGCGGAGGUGGCCUCGAGCAACGCGAGAGGGGAGGCCGGUGGCCAGGGACGGUGCGGCUGCCCAGGAUGACCGACGGCUGGUGUAGGCGGGAGCAGUGGGGGAAGCGCGGCGUCGCGAGGCAGAGGCUGCGCGGGCGCUGAACGGUGGCGAGGCGAGCAGGCGCGGCGUGGGGAGGAGCUGCGGGCUCGGCUGCGAGCGGCGCCGAGGCGGAAGCGGUGAGCUCCAGUGAGCUCGGCCACGGCGACGUACGACGUCAACGGCGACGGAUCUACGCGAAGGAGGAGGGGGAUCGACGGAGGGGCUCACCAGCCCUGUAGUGGUGCAAACGCGUCCUCGGGGAGGACCGGAGUAGCGCGACGGAGAGGUGAGGAGGCGAGGCGAUGACGGCGGCGGGGAGCAGCGUCGAGGCUCGGGGCGCCGCGGGGUCGAGCCCCCGAUUUAGCUCAGGUCGAGGGGGCGGGCGCCUGUGCUGCAGGCGNN